UGGGGAAUAUUGCACAAUGGGCGCAAGCCUGAUGCAGCCAUGCCGCGUGUAUGAAGAAGGCCUUCGGGUUGUAAAGUACUUUCAGUCGGGAGGAAGGUGUCAAGGUUAAUAACCUUGGCAAUUGACGUUACCGACAGAAGAAGCACCGGCUAACUCCGUGCCAGCAGCCGCGGUAAUACGGAGGGUGCAAGCGUUAAUCGGAAUUACUGGGCGUAAAGCGCACGCAGGCGGUUGAUUGAGUCAGAUGUGAAAUCCCCGGGCUUAACCCGGGAAUUGCAUCUGAUACUGGUCAGCUUGAGUCUCGUAGAGGGGGGUAGAAUUCCAGGUGUAGCGGUGAAAUGCGUAGAGAUCUGGAGGAAUACCGGUGGCGAAGGCGGCCCCCUGGACGAAGACUGACGCUCAGGUGCGAAAGCGUGGGGAGCAAACAGG
rnacentral:rRNA from 1 species